GUUCUACGGGGCUUAGGCUUCGCCUCCAUUUAGGUGAUGGUAAAUGCAGAACAACUGCAAAGGAGUCAGUCCUGUCACUGUAUUUAUGCUGGGGUAGGGAGGUGGGUCAAAAAAAAGCCCAAGUUUGCUAUUUAAUCUCUUUAAUCUCUAUACACUGUGUAAAUUUCAUUGUCAGGGUGAUAUUCUCCUUCAGGUUGAUUUUACCAAAAAUCUGAGGCCAUUGCUGUUACAGUCAUUCCUAUUCUGUGACUUUAUUGUUGCAUGCUUUGUUUCGUCAUUGAAUAUUUUUGUGGAGAGGAUGUCUUUAGGAUAAAUUAUUUUCAUUUAAUUUAAAGUAUACCCAGAUCUUUGCUUUUUCAGUCUAUACACAGUCUGUAUUUUGAAUACUUUUUUCUUUCUUUUUUUUUUUUUUCUUUUGCUUUAUAUUGCAUUGACUAAUGUAUUAUUAUAGGAAUAAAGUUGGGUAGUUUAGCUCUGUCCCCCUUUUGACUGAACCCCUGCUGUAGUAUCUAGUGGGUUUCAUACAUCUCUUCUCAGCACUAGGCCUACAUUUGCAUAAUAUAUAUUUACCAUUAAAAUGUUAAUAUUAAAUAUUGAUUAAAACGCACUGUUGUCUGAAGUGUGUGUGUCCUGGCACAGCAUUUCUCUAGUGCCUGCGUGCAGACCCUAUAAGAGUGUUUCAUUUCCCAGCACCAAUGCAGAACACCCACCUGUCUCCUCUUCCUGGAAAACAAGAGAGGGAAAUGUUGCAUGAAGAGAGGCCAUAUGCAAUGGCAUGUCAAUCUGCUACCUACUUUUAAAUAUUCACAUAACCCCCACUUACUGGAAAUAAAGAUGUCUAUUCUGAGAAAGUGACAGCUGAAUCAGUAACCUCUGCCUCUCACAAUUACGAGAAGCUGAUGAUCAGCUGGUGGAUGGGACUGUGCAGUUGGAAGCUCUAUCUAUCACUUCAGACAUGACAAGGAGCUCAGGCUAGCAGUGCUUGAAGGAAGGGAAGUACAAGAUCUGAAGAUCAUAACCCUGUCACAUUACAGUUCAUGGAGACAUAACUUACUACAGAAAUGAAGAAUUUUCCUUGGAAACCUCCUAAAGAAAUCUCUUCUGCUUCCCAGUUGAGAGCUAUUCUACAACACCAAAAUCAUUCCAGAAGGUUUAGAGUUGUAAUUUGUCAGACAGCAGUUGUCCAACAGAAAAGGAAUGAGUCAAGUCUCUGAGGUUUUGGGGAUGCUUCAAGCUUCCAUCUUCAGUGUGGAAACUGGUUGCUUGCCUCUGCCAAGCCCAGGCUUCAGCAGCAUCUUGAUCUAGGGCACAACAUAAAUGCUUGAAUGCUAUCUUGUUGUGGAAUGAUGAUAAGUAUCUUAAACAUUAAGAAAGGAAAGUGAAGAGUAAAGGGUGGGGACACAUUAAGUCUUCAAAUGUAUAAAAAGCCUCUAUGGAGACUGAAGUAUGCUGUGGCUGGAAGUUCCGCGCAGUCCAGCCCACCGCGUUCAGGACGAGUCAGCACUGCCAGCUUUAAUCACUCACUUUAGCCUUGUGAAGAGAAAGGAGCAGAAAACACCACUCAGCAAGGCGGUGAGGCCAUGAAAUUGUGUUAAGCCACACUCACAAAAACAGCUGGAUUUGCUAUUUUAGUGUAAGUGUCUAAAUGUUUUUGAAAUUGUAAUUUUCGUGUGCUGCUAUGUGUAAAGGUGACCGCUCUGUGUUGGGUCCCUGGUGGCCGGCUCCAGACAGCUAAUCAGCUUGAUUCAUUUGUCAGGGUGGUCACUCAGCACCUCCUCUGCUGCCAUACAGCAGGAUGGAGCUCCUCACUGAUGUGUGAGGAUAUAAUGGCAUCUACUAGAAAUGCAGAACUUCCUGAAGACACAUUAGGGUUUAAUUUUUGUGGCAGCAAUAUAUUUAGCGGGGGUACAGAGAUUGUAACCCUUAUUUGACUUGCCAGCAGCCAUUCAGGAAUAGAAGGCGUGUUGUCACUUGAGGAAUCCUGAAUUCCUGCUGGAGAGACAGGCGUGAAUGAAUGCAUUUGUGCAGCCCAGUCUCUCUCUAUUUCACUUUCAUCUUGUUUUUAAAAUUGCAGCACCGAAUGAAGUAAGGUUUGUGAUGCUUGGGUGUUGCUGAGUUUGGCCACAUGAUGGCACACAUCAGUCAAAUGACCAUUACUGUAUCAUUGGAUGUGCUCCUGUGAAAGGAGAGGAAUUAAGUCUCAUACUCUGGGCUGUAGUGCUCAGAUUUGUGGUCCCUAGCGGCUGUUUUAAUCCACAAUUUACCACAGUCAGUGAGGGGCAGUGGUGGUGUCUCAGCCA